rnacentral:ncRNA from 2 species
CUAUCCUGCCCCGCGGAUGGUCCGGCGGCGCAGAUCUCGCGUCAUCGGCUAAGAGGGAAUGCGAAGGGACGACCCAAUCCGGGAUCCCGCGUCGCAGCCGACCCCGCGACUGUAGAGCGGCGAGGUCCUUCCACCCCGGGGAAUGCGCGACAGCGCUUUCGCAGCGACAAACGCCGGCAGCGUUGACGCACGGGGGAAACGCCACUGACGCCGAGAGGCGCCGGGAAGGCAGGAAGAGACCGACGACCCGCGAGCCAGGAGACCUGCCAUCCCAUGAAAAGGCCG